rnacentral:lncRNA from 1 species
UUGCUGUGAACUUUAGAUAACGCAAAACCUUAUUAGGUUAUAGAUCAAGUGACACUCAUGAAGUGAUUAUCAUCUUUAGCUAGUUUUAGCACUUCGUGGUGGCCUUCUUGGUGGUGGAGGUGGUGGUCUCCUAGGUGGCGGAGGUGGAGGUGGUGGUCUCCUUGGUGACGGAAGUCUCUUUGGUGACGGAGGUGGAGGUGGUGGUCUCCUUGGUGACGGAGGUGGAGGUGGUGGUCUCUUAGGUGACGGAGGUGGAGGUGGUGGUCUCCUUGGUGACGGAGGUGGAGGUGGUGGUGUCCUUGGUGACGGAGGUGGAGGUGGUGGUUCCCGUGGUGACGGAGGUGGAGGUGGUGAUCCGCUAGGUGACGGAGGUGGAGGUGGUGGUGGUACCCUAGGUGACGGAGGUGGAGGUGGUGGUGAUCCCUGUGGUGAUGGAGGUGGAGGUGGAGGUGGUGGUUCCCGUGGUGACGGAGGUGGAGGUGGUGGUGAUCCCUGUGGUGAUGGAGGUGGAGGUGGUGGUGUCCUUGGUGACGGAGGUGGAGGUGGUGGUUCCCGUGGUGACGGAGGUGGAGGUGGUGGUCCCCGUGGUGACGGAGGUGGAGGUGGUGAUCCGCUAGGUGACGGAGGUGGAGGUGGUGGUGGUCCCCUUGGUGACGGAGGUGGAGGUGGUGGUGAUCCCUGUGGUGAUGGAGGUGGAGGUGGUGGUGUCCUUGGUGACGGAGGUGGAGGUGGUGGUCCCCUUGGUGAUGGAUGUGGAGGUGGUGGAGGUCUUCUUAUCAAAGUACAUAAUUUGAUUCUAGCAUCAGGUUUAUCAACACAUUGUCCAUUUAAACAAAAGAGUUGACCCCCGCAUUCCCGUUGUGUUUGACAUGGCUUAAAGCAAUCAACGAUAGCAUUAGUAGGUAAUGAAGAAAAUA